UAGCGCCUCGGACGAAUACCAUAGGGGGUAGAGCACUGUUUCGGCUAGGGGGUCAUCCCGACUUACCAAACCGAUGCAAACUCCGAAUACCUAUGAGUACUAUCCGGGAGACAGACUGCGGGUGCUAACGUCCGUAGUCAAGAGGAAAACAAUCCAGACCGCCAGCUAAGGCCCCAAAAUCAUAGUUAAGUGGGAAACGAUGUGGGAAGGCAUAGACAGCUAGGAGGUUGGCUUAGAAGCAGCCACCCUUUAAAGAAAGCGUAAUAGCUCACUAGUCGAGUCGGCCUGCGCGGAAGAUGUAACGGGGCUAAAACUAUGUGCCGAAGCUGCGGAUUUGACAUUAGUCAAGUGGUAGGGGAGCGUUCUGUAAGCCGAUGAAGGUGUAUUGAGAAGUAUGCUGGAGGUAUCAGAAGUGCGAAUGCUGACGUGAGUAACGACAAAACGGGUGAAAAACCCGUUCGCCGAAAGACCAAGGGUUCCAGUCCAACGUUAAUCGGGGCUGGGUGAGUCGACCCCUAAGGCGAGGCCGAAAGGCGUAGUCGAUGGGAAAAUGGUUAAUAUUCCAUUACUUCUGUGUAAUGCGAUGAGAGGACGGAGAAGGCUAAAUCAGCCUGGCGUUGGUUGUCCAGGUGAAAGGAUGUAGGCAUGUAUCUUAGGCAAAUCCGGGGUACUCUAUGCUGAGAUCUGAUAGCAAGCUGUACUUGUACAGCGAAGUGGUUGAUGCCAUGCUUCCAGGAAAAGUCUCUAAGCUUCAGUUACACAGGAAUCGUACCCGAAACCGACACAGGUGGUCAGGUCGAGUAGACCAAGGCGCUUGAGAGAACUCUGCUGAAGGAACUAGGCAAAAUGGUACCGUAACUUCGGGAGAAGGUACGCUGUUGUUGGUGAUGGAACUCGCUUCCUGAGCUGACGACAGCCGCAGAAACCAGGCCGCUGCAACUGUUUAUUAAAAACAUAGCACUCUGCAAACACGAAAGUGGACGUAUAGGGUGUGAUGCCUGCCCGGUGCUGGAAGGUUAAUUGAUGGGGUUAGCGUAAGCGAAGCUCUUGAUCGAAGCCCCAGUAAACGGCGGCCGUAACUAUAACGGUCCUAAGGUAGCGAAAUUCCUUGUCGGGUAAGUUCCGACCUGCACGAAUGGCAUAAUGAUGGCGGCGCUGUCUCCAGCAGAGGCUCAGUGAAAUCGAAAUCGCUGUGAAGAUGCAGUGUACCCGCGGCUAGACGGAAAGACCCCGUGAACCUUUACUGCAGCUUGACACUGAACUUUGACCUUACUUGUGUAGGAUAGGUGGGAGGCUUUGAAGCUGGAACGCUAGUUCCAGUGGAGCCGUCCUUGAAAUACCACCCUGGUAAUGUUGAGGUUCUAACUCUGUCCCGUGAUCCGGGACGAGGACCGUGUCUGGUGGGUAGUUUGACUGGGGCGGUCUCCUCCUAAAGAGUAACGGAGGAGUACGAAGGUGCGCUCAGCGUGGUCGGAAAUCACGCGUAGAGUAUAAAGGCAAAAGCGCGCUUAACUGCGAGACCCACAAGUCGAGCAGGUACGAAAGUAGGUCUUAGUGAUCCGGUGGUUCUGUAUGGAAGGGCCAUCGCUCAACGGAUAAAAGGUACUCUGGGGAUAACAGGCUGAUACCGCCCAAGAGUUCAUAUCGACGGCGGUGUUUGGCACCUCGAUGUCGGCUCAUCUCAUCCUGGGGCUGAAGCAGGUCCCAAGGGUAUGGCUGUUCGCCAUUUAAAGAGGUACGCGAGCUGGGUUUAGAACGUCGUGAGACAGUUCGGUCCCUAUCUACCGUGGGCGCUGGAAAUUUGAGAGGAUCUGCUCCUAGUACGAGAGGACCAGAGUGGACGAACCUCUGGUGUACCGGUUGUGACGCCAGUCGCAUCGCCGGGUAGCUAUGUUCGGAAGGGAUAACCGCUGAAAGCAUCUAAGCGGGAAGCCUACCUCAAGAUAAGAUUUCCCUAGGACUUUAUGUCCUCUAAAGAGCCGUUCGAGACUAGGACGUUGAUAGGUUGGAUGUGGAAGCAUAGUGAUAUGUGAAGCUGACCAAUACUAAUUGCUCGUGAGGCUUGACUAUACAACACCCA
rnacentral:rRNA from 1 species